GCGUGGCUUCCCCGGUGACGUCAGAGGGGAGCAGCUGCCUGGCCAGCCCACACCUGAGCUGGGGGACCGGCGGGAAACCAGGAGCAAAACUCUCAAGACAGGACUUGCAGAAACAUCAGUGGAGGUGGAUCUCUGGAUGUGUAUGGCUGCAGAUGAAGAAGAGUCUCUGAGGAUGGGAUAUUAUAAAUUUGUAUGAAUAUUUUCCCUACCACUGUUGAGAUUUCAUCUCAUAGGCCUAUCGUACUGCCUGUACCUAGCAAGUAUGCAAUGAAUCCUGCUGAAUCAUAUUUUGCAUGAAAAUUGUAGAAGACCUAAGAAGCCCUGGG
rnacentral:lncRNA from 12 species